rnacentral:lncRNA from 1 species
CUUCUCCAGAGUUCCUUUCCUCUGUCAGCUGGCCCAAGCAGCCCUACUGGUGAUGAGUUCAGGAGCACACAUCAGUCAGAUCGAAAAUCAAGGGUGUGCAGAGUUAAGUCGCAAUAAUGCCUUCCUGACUCAUGGAAAAAAUACACAAUCCUUAGAACCAUCUGAGGAGCCUACAAAACAAUAUCAUGGCAGUUCAUUGCCAUCCUAUGAAAAUGUGACUAAAAGAAAGAAAAAUGCAGUACUUUGUAAGUCAAAAACUCAAUCUUAUCUAAAGGAUUUUGAUAAAAAAUGUAGGUCAUUGAAUCUGCCUCAUGAUGAUAUCACCAGUAGCAGCAAUGCCAAUGAUAGGAAUUUGCAGGGAGGUUCAAGUGACUUGUCUUACAUUAUUCCUUCACCUCUUAAAUUUAACAGUGAAAGUAAGACAGAUAUUAACAAGCUGCUUUUUACUGACAAAAUGAAGCCUGAUGAAACUGUUUAUGAUGCUGACAUGGAGUUGACUGCCAGUGAUGCAAGUGAACUACUCACAGUUACAGCAAAAGGCAAUUAUAAAUCGCGCC